CUUGGAUUCACUACCGCCAAGUGUCAGGGAUCAGCUGAGGUGGCCAUAUUGAAUGGAUGACCAGAGCAAGCUACGGAGAUACUUACAGAAGAUUUCCGGCAAGGAGGCUAUAGUCUAUGGAACCCGGCUCAAAGUCGUGGACAUGUCAUCUGCUUCCAAUGGAUCUCCUCCCAUGUUGAAAUCUGAGGAAACACAACAGCCCAAUCAUCCACAGAAGUGACUCCUAACCCUCUUGAACUACAUAGUUUUUCCCUCUCCAUCCUGCACUCCUACAGAACCUUGUGGAAUGAAUCCAUAUACCAAGACCUCUUGCGAACCUCCUUGGGAACGUACACGACUGACUCCUCCCCACGAACUGGGGUUUGUUCCCCUCCCCACACUGUGUAUUGGACACAGCCAUGAUCAGAAUAGGAAUAGGUCAUGCAGAUCCAGCUGCACAUCUCUUCAGACUACAAUUAGUCCUGGAUUCAUACUGUAAAUGGUACUCAUCAAUAGAAGACACAGUGGAGGACUUCUUAUUGCAAUGUCCACAUUUCUGUUCUUGCACAGCCCAUCACAACCAUGUCUAGAAUAAAGGAGUGAUGUUGUCGAGGAACCAGUGGACUCCAGCAGGUCAUGGUGGAAACAGGCUGGGCAGCCUAUGCUAUGCAUCUAUCCUCAGCUGUCUGUUGAAAAAUGUUGCUUCAGUACAUUCAGUGUCAUUAGAGUCAAAACAGCCACACUCCAAGUGCAAACCGGGAUGUGGAGAGAGACAUCACCAAUAUUUGUUGUUGGGGAAAUGCUUCAGGCGAGACUUUGUUAUGAGAAG